UACAUGGGGUGCAAACGUUGCUCGGAAUUAUUGGGCGUAAAGAGCUCGUAGGCGGUUUGUCGCGUCGAAUGUGAAAACCCGGGGCUCAACCCCGGGCCUGCAUUCGAUACGGGCAGACUAGAGUUCGGUAGGGGAGUCUGGAAUUCCUGGUGUAGCGGUGAAAUGCGCAGAUAUCAGGAGGAACACCGGUGGCGAAGGCGGGACUCUGGGCCGAUACUGACGCUGAGGAGCGAAAGCGUGGGGAGCAAACAGG
rnacentral:rRNA from 1 species